rnacentral:rRNA from 1 species
UACGUAGGGUCCGAGCGUUGUCCGGAAUUACUGGGCGUAAAGAGCUCGUAGGUGGUUUGUCGCGUUGUUCGUGAAAACUCACAGCUCAACUGUGGGCGUGCGGGCGAUACGGGCAGACUGGAGUACUGCAGGGGAGACUGGAAUUCCUGGUGUAGCGGUGGAAUGCGCAGAUAUCAGGAGGAACACCGGUGGCGCAGGCGGGUCUCUGGGCAGUAACUGACGCUGAGGAGCGAAAGCGUGGGGAGCGAACAGG